rnacentral:rRNA from 1 species
UUAGUAGCGGCGAGUGAAGCGGCAAAAGCUCAAAUUUGAAAUCUGGCUCUUUCAGAGUCCGAGUUGUAAUUUGAAGAAGGUAUCUUUGGGUCUGGCUCUUGUCUAUGUUUCUUGGAACAGAACGUCACAGAGGGUGAGAAUCCCGUGCGAUGAGAUGAUCCAGGCCUAUGUAAAGUUCCUUCGAAGAGUCGAGUUGUUUGGGAAUGCAGCUCUAAGUGGGUGGUAAAUUCCAUCUAAAGCUAAAUAUUGGCGAGAGACCGAUAGCGAACAAGUACAGUGAUGGAAAGAUGAAAAGAACUUUGAAAAGAGAGUGAAAAAGUACGUGAAAUUGUUGAAAGGGAAGGGCUUGAGAUCAGACUUGGUAUUUUGUAUGUUACUUCUUCGGGGGUGGCCUCUACAGUUUAUCGGGCCAGCAUCAGUUUGGGCGGUAGGAGAAUUGCGUUGGAAUGUGGCACGGCUUCGGUUGUGUGUUAUAGCCUUCGUCGAUACUGCCAGCCUAGACUGAGGACUGCGGUUUAUACCUAGGAUGUUGGCAUAAUGAUCUUAAGUCGCCCGUCUUGAAACACGGACCAAGGAGUCUAACGUCUAUGCGAGUGUUUGG